rnacentral:rRNA from 1 species
UACGGAGGGUGCGAGCGUUGUCCGGAAUCACUGGGCGUAAAGGGCGCGUAGGCGGCCUGGAAGUCGAUGGUGAAAGCCCGAGGCUCAACUUCGGGUCGGCCACUGAUACUGCUGGGCUUGAGUCGACUAGAGGCAGAUGGAAUUCCGGGUGUAGCGGUGAAAUGCGCAGAUAUCAGGAAGAACACCCGUGGCGAAGGCGGCUCUCUGGGACGGUACUGACGCUGAGACGCGAAAGCGUGGGGAGCGAACAGG